GAUGAACGCUGGCGGCGUGCCUAAUACAUGCAAGUCGAGCGAACAGACGAGGAGCUUGCUCCUCUGACGUUAGCGGCGGACGGGUGAGUAACACGUGGAUAACCUACCUAUAAGACUGGGAUAACUUCGGGAAACCGGAGCUAAUACCGGAUAAUAUAUUGAACCGCAUGGUUCAAUAGUGAAAGACGGUUUUGCUGUCACUUUUAGAUGGAUCCGCGCCGGAUUAGCUAGUUGGUAAGGUAACGGCUUACCAAGGCAACGAUGCGUAGCCGGCCUGAGAGGGUGAUCGGCCACACUGGAACUGAGACACGGUCCAGACUCCUACGGGAGGCAGCAGUAGGGAAUCUUCCGCAAUGGGCGAAAGCCUGACGGAGCAACGCCGCGUGAGUGAUGAAGGUCUUCGGAUCGUAAAACUCUGUUGUUAGGGAAGAACAAAUGUGUAAGUAACUAUGCACGUCUUGACGGUACCUAAUCAGAAAGCCACGGCUAACUACGUG
rnacentral:rRNA from 1 species